rnacentral:rRNA from 1 species
UACGGGGGGAGCAAGCGUUGUUCGGAAUUACUGGGCGUAAAGGGCUCGUAGGCGGCCAACUAAGUCAGACGUGAAAUCCCUCGGCUUAACCGGGGAACUGCAUCUGAUACUGGAAGGCUUGAGUUCGGGAGAGGGAUGCGGAAUUCCAGGUGUAGCGGUGAAAUGCGUAGAUAUCUGGAGGAACACCGGUGGCGAAGGCGGCAUCCUGGACCGACACUGACGCUGAGGAGCGAAAGCCAGGGGAGCAAACGGG